AUUGAACGCUGGCGGCAGGCCUAACACAUGCAAGUCGGACGGUAGCACAGAGGAGCUUGCUCCUCGGGUGACGAGUGGCGGACGGGUGAGUAAUGUCUGGGGAUCUGCCCGAUAGAGGGGGAUAACCACUGGAAACGGUGGCUAAUACCGCAUAACGUCGCAAGACCAAAGAGGGGGACCUUCGGGCCUCUCACUAUCGGAUGAACCCAGAUGGGAUUAGCUAGUAGGCGGGGUAACGGCCCACCUAGGCGACGAUCCCUAGCUGGUCUGAGAGGAUGACCAGCCACACUGGAACUGAGACACGGGCCAGACUCCUACGGGAGGCAGCAGUGGGGAAUAUUGCACAAUGGGCGCAAGCCUGAUGCAGCCAUGCCGCGUGUAUGAAGAAGGCCUUCGGGUUGUAAAGUACUUUCAGCGGGGAGGAAGGCGAUGUGGUUAAUAACCGUGUCGAUUGACGUUACCCGCAGAAGAAGCACCGGCUAACUCCGUGCCAGCCGCCGCAGUAA
rnacentral:rRNA from 1 species